AGAGUUUGAUCCUGGCUCAGAUUGAACGCUGGCGGAAUGCUUUACACAUGCAAGUCGAACGGCAGCACGGGGGCAACCCUGGUGGCGAGUGGCGAACGGGUGAGUAAUACAUCGGAACGUGCCCAGUCGUGGGGGAUAACGCAGCGAAAGCUGUGCUAAUACCGCAUACGAUCUACGGAUGAAAGCGGGGGACUCGCAAGGGCCUCGCGCGAUUGGAGCGGCCGAUGGCAGAUUAGGUAGUUGGUGGGGUAAAGGCUCACCAAGCCUGCGAUCUGUAGCUGGUCUGAGAGGACGACCAGCCACACUGGGACUGAGACACGGCCCAGACUCCUACGGGAGGCAGCAGUGGGGAAUUUUGGACAAUGGGCGCAAGCCUGAUCCAGCCAUUCCGCGUGCAGGAUGAAGGCCUUCGGGUUGU
rnacentral:rRNA from 1 species